GUGCUCUUUCCUGCAGCACAUUUACUAAAAUUGGAACAACACAGAGAAGGUUAGCAUGGGCCUUGUGCCAGGAUGACACAAAAAUUCGUGAAGUGGUCCAUAUUUUU